rnacentral:misc_RNA from 1 species
GGUCGGUCCCAGACGACC